UUCCUGACUUGGAGAAGGAGAUUUCUUUCUGUGUCCUCACAUGGUAGAGAGAAAGAGAGAGAGAGAGCAACCUCGAUGGUAUCUCAUCUUAUUAGGGCACCAGUUUCAUCAAGAGGGCAUCAUCUUCAUGGCCUCAUCUAAACCUAAUUAACUCCAAAAGGCCCCAUGUCCCAACACCAUCACAUUGGGGGCUUAGGACUACAACAUAUGAAUUUUGUGGAGUCACAAACAUUGUCUGCAACACUGGAUAAGAACAAGAGAUGAGCAUUAGACAAGAAAUUUUCUUCUUUAGAUCGUAAAAGUACACACUCUUUGUUUUACAAAGAAAGCAUAAGAAGUAAAACUUGGUUGAAAUUUAUAUGUGGGUUUCUUUGGAGAAAAUCCUAUUUACUUUCAAAAAAGUGUCUGAUCUCAGACAAAUUAAACCUUCCUGUGGGCUGACCUUCUGUCAGGUCCUGUUGUGUGUGAUAAGACAGACGAGCUCAAAGAAAAAGCAUUAGACUUUUAUCCUGAGUGAUUUUGUUGCACUUUCCCAGAAUUCAUGCACAGAGAGCCUACAUAAUGAAUAAAUAUCAAUACAUUGGUCGAUAUUUAUGAAAUGCUGCUGGAUACCCAGUCCUAUUCUGGUUGCUCAUGGUUGUGGUGGUGUUGUGGGUGGGAAUCAAGAUAGAUUCACUGGCCUUGAACAGUUUACAGGUUGAUGGAGGAAAGCAUUUGUUGCUCUAGCUCUCACCCAUGUAUAUGUCUAUGAUUUGUUUUGCCGGCUUUAUACAGAAUCCUCAGGUUCCCCCUCAUUUAAUGUGCAAAAUGAAGAUUCUGACAACUAAAAACAAAUUGUUUAGGUGGAUGCAUUCUCAAGAAGAGAAGAAUAAAAAUAAUAUCAAUGUUUUUGCUUCGUAGUAUCCCCCUUCAUAUAUUAUAUGCAGCAUACAUAAUUUUUCAUGGGAAACUAGAUGAAAGAAUUAGGAUUAGAGGGUUUAUGACUUCUUUCAUUUCUUUAUCAUCAGACUCUGAAAGAAACUAAUACCUAUUUACGUGAAGAAAAUGUACAAUUUCUUUAGCUGUCACGGAAAUGUGGUUUAAAAAUAUCUAGUGUGCUCUGCAAAAGCCUUGGCUGAGCUGUGAGAGCAGUCACUUGCCUGUCAGAUGUCUAAUUAUUUCUCCCUCCUCCUCAACCACGCCAGUAGCAGGGAACCACUGAGACCAUAUUGUUGCCCAUAUGUCGGAAAGCUACUAAAUUAAACCCCUGUGUAACAUGCUGACAAGUCUAAUGCAGUAGUUGGAGAUUUGGGGAAUGGGUAGUCUUUCCUUUGGAGAAGAACAAAAAGCUGGACAAACAGACAAAAAAGCAACAAAAAUACUGGACAACUAAAGAUUUCUCAAAUCUUGCUCCACAGGACACUGAUGUUCCUCUAAAUGUUAGUAGUCUACAGGAUAUCAGAAUUCUAAGAAAAACUUGGAAAUCAUGUUCAGGACUAUACAGGACUUUAAAAGCUUUAUCUUCCCAAACUGAAAACCAGACCUCUCAAGUCUAGCUGCUCUCCUCCAGGUGCUGCAUAAAUGGACCUGGUCUUUGGCUACCUUACUUUGGAUCACUUGGUUGAAACAGUUCCCUUAGUCAACUUGUCCACUGGACUUAAGCUGUGGGACACAGAAAUUUUCCCUGGAAGAACAGAACAAUGAAGAUGAAUAGUUGAAAAAUGAGAUGACAUGAUUAUAUAUUUAGAAAACCCCAUCGUCUCAGC
rnacentral:lncRNA from 1 species